rnacentral:lncRNA from 1 species
GCUCUCACUGCAGCCGUUUCUUCACAGGGUGAUCCUCACAGAAACACUCAAAGCCUUCUGUUACGUACAAAGGACCGCGUGUCAGUAAUCUACAGCCAUUUACCAGUUACCAAGAAAACACGGACGUUUCCACUAAAAAUCGCAAACGUUUCUUUCAAGCAAGGAGCGCCCUGCGCCAGAGGCUGUGGGAGGAGUGAGGAGUCUGGGUUCGUUCCAGCCGCAGUGAGUAAGGCGUGGGUGACUCCGAGCAUUGCAGAGGCAUGAGGAAACGAAAACAAAACCUGCCGAAGUGGGGCCUUACUGACUUAUCUUCCACUGUGAAAUAAAUAAAAUAAUGUUUUUCUUUCAAAGAUGUGGAACAAAUCCAUGCAGUUUGCUGUGGUUGUUUUAAAACAAACUAGAAUUUUAAAAACAUUUUGGAAUAGCUAAGUUGACCAUCUUGUCUCCAUAAAUGGAGAAAAAUAUUUUGCUCUUCAAAAGACAGCAUUAGGAAACAAUAAGUAGACCACAGAAUGGGAGAAAAUAUUUACAAUAUUAUAUCAGCCAAAAGACGUGUGUUAAGAUAAUAUUUAAAAAAACACAGUUUAUAAUAAAAAGCAAUAAAAAAUGA